rnacentral:tRNA from 1 species
GCCGGGGUGGCGGAAUGGCAGACGCUGGGGACUUAAAAUCCCCUGACCUUCGGGUCGUGCGGGUUCGAUUCCCGCUCCCGGCA